rnacentral:piRNA from 1 species
UAACUUUGCUCCUGAUGAUGACCACAG